GAUGAAGAACGUAGCGAAAUGCGAUACGUAAUGUGAAUUGCAGAAUUCAGUGAAUCAUCGAGUCUUUGAACGUACAUUGCGCCCCCUGGUAUUCCGGGGGGCAUGCCUGUCCGAGCGUCAUUGCUGCCCUCAAGCACGGCUUGUGUGUUGGGCCUCCGUCCUCCUCCCGGGGGACGGGCCCGAAAGGCAGCGGCGGCACCGCGUCCGGUCCUCGAGCGUAUGGGGCUUCGUCACCCGCUCUUGUAGGCCCGGCCGGCGCUUGCCGACACAUCAAUCUUUUUUCCAGGUUGACCUCGGAUCAGGUAGGGAUACCCGCUGAACUUAAGCAUAUCAAUAAGCGGAGGA
rnacentral:misc_RNA from 1 species